GGCUGACCUUUGGGCCACCCUAAUCCAAACCUCCUCCAAUCAGGAUUAAUGUACCCGCGUCAAGGGCUGAAAAGAAGAAAAAACUGGGGACCAGAAUACAAGGGUGGGGUGUUUGUUUUUGUUCCUAACCAAAGAGUCAGAAAAGCGGCGGACCACACACAGCCGAGCCCAAGCGCUGGCAAAGCGACUCCACCCUCCCGUCUCCUGCAGAACCAGCCCUGCAAACGGUUUCCCUGCCUCGGGCCAGAGGCUGCGCGCAGGAAUACGAAAGCGAGAGGCCGCGGAGGAGCAGCCCCGAAGAAGUCCAGCCCAGCCCAGCCCGUCCGGAGAAAACACCUGCUGGCAGUCUUGGAAACAAACAGUCCUACCGGCGCCGCCAUACGAAUGCAAACGCAGCCCUCUUUCACCCGCAGCACCAUAUCGAUAUCUUCAUCGCCCCGGAUUGCAGUUUGGGGACAGCGGCCGACGACAGUCCUGCGGUGUAGUCCAGUGCUGAUAUUUGCAGGCUCGAGGCGGUCCCAAGGCUGGUUGGGGUUUCCGGCCAAAGGCCUUCACCCUCCAGACCCAGCGCCGAAUUGCACGCAGAAGCAAUAAAAACAAAAAAACAAUAAAAAAAGGAGUUCAAAAGGGCUCCUGCGUUGCUGCUUCCAUCGACUCCCGAGUGGAAACCCGGGAGAGUUCAGCCCUGGCAGCUGCGCCAAAGUCCGGGCUUUCUCCAGGGCUGGCAUUUCCGACCUGGAAAGACGAGAAGGAGAAAAAACCUGCUUCUGAAAACCAGUUGCCGGAAGCCUUAGGAGGGGAGAGUGUUUUUGCACUCGGGUCCUGCUUGCGGGCUUCCCCCAGGCACCUGGUUGGCCACUGUGAGAACAGGAUGCUGGAUUAAAUGGGCCACUGGCCUGAUCCAGCAGGCUCUUCUUAUGUUCUUAUGUUAAACCCUAGCGUAAAAGACCCGGAAGUCGGGGCCUCUGUUCCUUGCUCUUUGAAGUCUAUGCUGAUUCCGAGUCACGGGGAAACGGGGGCGUGGACCAGGCGCAAACCACGUCGCCGGGAUAGGCGCGCUCCUCGCUUGUCUCCGCCCAUGUGGCUCGCGCGGGGAGUAGGUGGGGCCAGGCGGCGGAGCGCACAGCUGGGUUGGUUACUCCGGAUUUAUUCAUGCGAAGUAGCUAAUCCGGGACGUCGUGAGCAAGACCGUGCAAACAGGUGGGAUUUCUCUCUCGCCCCCCUUCAGUUUGCAAUGCCCGCCCUCUGCAGGUGCAGCGAGUUUUUUCCCACUCCGUGGUUACCCUGCCGCGUGGGAAGCUGUACCUCAGUGGCAGAGUCCUUGCUGUGCGUGCAGAGGAUCCCAGGUUCUGUCCUCAGAGGCUCCUGCAGGGCUGCAAAAGUGAAGGGAGUUGCUACUGUAUGGCACAUAAAGGUACACCCAACAUGAUGGAACACGGAAGGCACAGGAACCCGCUUCCACAUCAACGGCCCCAGUAACAACAAAACAACAGAAGGACUAGCCCUAACCAUGAACAGCAGAAUCCCGAGAUCACAAGGAGCCUGCGUGGAUUAAAACAGGGCCUGGGCUGAGCCCACAGAACACAGAAGAGGGAUGAAGCCCAUGGCAGGCCUUCCUGACUCCUUGUCCCCUGCAGCGGCUUUGGACUACAACUCCCAGCAAGUCCAGGAGUUGUAGUCCAAAAUGGACCCAAGUAGGGAAGGCCAGCCUGGGUUCCUCCCUUCAAGCUGCUCAUCAAAGGCACAGGGGGAGUCUCUCCUGCUCCACUGCGCUUUGCAGGGCAGAAGGCUUUUCUUUCAGAACUAUUUCAGCUCUCACUCUCGGCACCACUUCUUUACGCUGGAGGAAAAGGCAGCCUGGAUUAGAAGAGGGUUUAGGAAGCCUUGUCGCACAGGCCCAACAAGGCAGACCUGGAGCGAAAAUUUCCAGCCGGCUGAGAAUAUUUAUUCAACAAUAUUAGUGCCAUGUUAUCUCACGCGGCUGCUGUUUGAUUCCUUCUCUGUAUAAUAUUGAUAAGUUUUAUCAUUUUAUUGUUUUAAUAUUUUAUAGUGCUGGUCU